GAUGAACGCUGGCGGCGUGCCUAAUACAUGCAAGUCGAGCGAACAGACGAGGAGCUUGCUCCUCUGACGUUAGCGGCGGACGGGUGAGUAACACGUGGAUAACCUACCUAUAAGACUGGGAUAACUUCGGGAAACCGGAGCUAAUACCGGAUAAUAUAUUGAACCGCAUGGUUCAAUAGUGAAAGACGGUUUUGCUGUCACUUAUAGAUGGAUCCGCGCCGCAUUAGCUAGUUGGUAAGGUAACGGCUUACCAAGGCGACGAUGCGUAGCCGACCUGAGAGGGUGAUCGCCCACACUGGAACUGAGACACGGUCCAGACUCCUACGGGAGGCAGCAGUAGGGAAUCUUCCGCGAUGGGCGAAAGCCUGACGGAGCAACGCCGCGUGAGUGAUGAAGGUCUUCGGAUCGUAAAACUCUGUUAUUAGGGAAGAACAAAUGUGUAAGUAACUAUGCACGUCUUGACGGUACCUAAUCAGAAAGCCACGGCUAACUACGUG
rnacentral:rRNA from 1 species